GACGAACGCUGGCGGCGUGCUUAACACAUGCAAGUCGAACGGAAAGGCCCUGCUUUUGUUGGGUUCUCUAUUUGCGAACGUUUGAGUAACACGUUUGUAACCUGCCCUUUACUUUGUUAUAUCUUCAGGAAACUUUGGCUAAUACCGUAUAGUAUCUCCUGCUGCAUGGUUGUGGUUGGAAAUUUUCGGCGGUUGGGGAUGUACUCGCGGCUUAUCAGCUUGUUGGUGGGGUAGUGGCUUACCAAGGCUUUGACGGGUAGCCGGCCUGAGAGGGUUACCGGCAACAUUGGGACUGAGAUAAGGCGCAGACUGCAACGGGAGGCAGGAGUGGGGAAUAUUGCACAAUGGGCGGAAGCCUGAUGCAGAAACGACGGGUGCGGGAUGACGGCCUUCGGGUUGUAAACAGCUUUAGAAUGUGACGAAGAGUGAGUGACGGUAAUGGGUAAAGAAGCAACGGCUAACUACGUG
rnacentral:rRNA from 1 species